AUUUUGCAUACUGGCAGCGACAAGUUGAGACUUGUUCAACUUGACACAGUCCUGUGGUCAUAGCGAAUCUUUCUAAAGCUCUGAUCAGUCAAGAAGGGGGUUGUAUCAAUCCUCAGAACCCUGAGUGGAACUUUCUACAGGAUUUAUUAGGAGAAAAACCUUCCCGGAAGCUGCAGAAGGACAAAUACAGAAUCCGUGUCUGGGAGAAACCUCGUGGCCUGGUCUCCAUUAUUUGAGAUGAGUUACAUCUUGGAGGCCUGAUCUUUUGGCCAGAAGGAGAUUAAAAAGAUGCCCCUCAAGAUGGCUGUGCCUGUCAGCUGCAUGGAGCUUCGUUCAAGUAUUUUCUGAGCCUGAUGGAUUUACAGUGAUCUUCAGUGGUCUGGGGAAUAACGCUGGUGGAACCAUGCACUGGAAUGACACACGCCCGGCACAUUUCAGGAUACUAAAAGUGGUUUUAAGGGAGGCUGUGGCUGAAUGCCUCAUGGAUUCUUACAGCUUGGAUGUCCAUGGGGGACGAAGGACUGCAGCUGGCUGAGAGGGUUGAGAUCUCUGUUUACUUAGAUCUCUGCCAACUUCCUUUGGGUCUCCCUAUGGAAUGU
rnacentral:lncRNA from 1 species